UACGGAGGGUGCGAGCGUUGUCCGGAAUCACUGGGCGUAAAGGGCGCGUAGGCGGCCUGAUAAGUAGGGGGUGAAAUCCUGCGGCUUAACCGCAGGGCUGCCUUCUAAACUGUCAGGCUCGAGCACAGUAGAGGCAGGUGGAAUUCCGGGUGUAGCGGUGGAAUGCGUAGAGAUCCGGAAGAACACCGGUGGCGAAGGCGGCCUGCUGGGCAGUUUAGCUGACACUGAGGCGCGACAGCGUGGGGAGCAAACAGG
rnacentral:rRNA from 1 species